GAGUUUGAUCGUGGCUCAGAUUGAACGCUGGCGGCAUGCCUUACACAUGCAAGUCGAACGGCAGCACGGGAGCUUGCUCCUGGUGGCGAGUGGCGAACGGGUGAGUAAUGCAUCGGAACGUAUCCUGGAGCGGGGGAUAACGUAGCGAAAGUUACGCUAAUACCGCAUAUUCUGUGAGCAGGAAAGCGGGGGACCUUCGGGCCUCGCGCUCUUGGAGCGGCCGAUGUCGGAUUAGCUAGUUGGUGAGGUAAAGGCUCACCAAGGCGACGAUCCGUAGCAGGUCUGAGAGGAUGAUCUGCCACACUGGAACUGAGACACGGUCCAGACUCCUACGGGAGGCAGCAGUGGGAAUUUUGGACAAUGGGGGCAACCCUGAUCCAGCCAUGCCGCGUGAGUGAAGAAGGCCUCGG
rnacentral:rRNA from 1 species